AUGUGCAAAUAAACACAAGUAACCGGCUCUGGAUAUAUUAAUGUGGUACCUUCUUCUGCAAGUCAUCAAAAUAGGGAAUAGAAGCAAGCUUUGGACACCGAGAAAGAAACCUUUGGAGCUCAACUUCAAGGCGAAAACUCCCAUCAAUAGCCAUUUAAAAUUCCUACCAAAUACUAUAAACAGUGCUGUCGAUUGAUUUGAGAAGGUUUUGUUGUCAAGUCAAUGAUCAAAAUCAAGUUAUAGCUGCGGAUAUCCAGAAACUGCAUGGUGAAAAGAAGUCUACUUACAUUAGCACAACCAAAAAUUAAUGCUGAAAAUAAUAAAAACUUGUAUUAUCGUUCAAGACUUCAAAAAGAAUAAUAUUCGUCCAGCACCAUCCCUGCUUAAGCUUUUCUUGCUGCAGCGGGAGCGGCCAAACAUGACCAGCAUGUCUGGUGUACUUUUUCGAAUUUCAUCCUCUUUAGUCUCAUGUUAGUUGAAAAAAAACAUGUGUAAAACGCACCUGAUUGUUCUGGCUUCUGAAUUUCGCGAAUUCGAGGUGAAAAGCCUGGGCUUAAAUUAAUGGUUUCUAGGUUAGGAACAGGGUUUAGGGGCGGGAGCUGAGCGCGCAGGCGAGGAAGAGGGAGAAGUAUAAAUUAGGUUUUAGUUAGGAACUUUUGGACUGUUA
rnacentral:lncRNA from 1 species